rnacentral:rRNA from 1 species
UACGUAGGGGGCGAGCGUUAUCCGGAUUUAUUGGGUUUAAAGGGUGCGUAGGCUGUGCGUUAAGUCAGGGGCGAAAUGUCCGGGCUCAACCUGGGAGCUGCCCUUGAUACUGGCGCGCUGGAGUGCGGAUGCCGUUGGAGGAAUGAGUGGUGUAGCGGUGAAAUGCAUAGAUAUCACUCAGAACACCGAUUGCGAAGGCAUCUGACGAAUCCGUAACUGACGCUGAGGCACGAAAGCGUGGGGAUAGAAC